rnacentral:rRNA from 1 species
CCCUUAGAUGUUCUGGGCUGCACGCGUGCUACAAUGGCGUUUCCAGCAAGUCUGCGAACCCGAGAGGGCCAGCGGAUCUUCGAAUUGGCGUCGUGAUCGGGACAGUCGAUUGCAAUUAUUUGACUCAAACGAGGAAUUCCUUGUAAUCGCGAUUCAUCAUAUCGCGCUGAAUACGUCCCUGUCCUUUGUACACACCGCCCGUCGCUCCUACCGAUUGAGCGAUCCGGUAAAUGUUUUGGAUUGGUGCCGGGGCGGCUAGCUGCCGGUCGCUACGAAAUUUUGUGAACCUUAUCGCUUAGAGGAAGGAAAAGUCGUAACA